rnacentral:sRNA from 1 species
UGGUAGAUGCACCUUGAUCUUCAGCUCCCAUGUUGGCUAACAAGCCUGUGGGAGUUUUUUU